UACGUAGGGACCGAGCGUUGUCCGGAAUCAUUGGGCGUAAAGAGCGUGUAGGCGGCCACUUAAGUCCUGCGUGAAAUCUUGCGGCUUAACCGCAAGCGGUCGUGGGAAACUGGGUGGCUAGAGUGCGGGAGAGGAGAGUGGAAUUCCUGGUGUAGCGGUGGAAUGCGCAGAUAUCAGGAAGAACACCCGUGGCGAAGGCGGCUCUCUGGAACGCAACUGACGCUGAGACGCGAAAGCGUGGGGAGCAAACAGG
rnacentral:rRNA from 1 species